AAGCGUUGUCCGGAUUUAUUGGGCGUAAAGAGCGUGUAGGCGGCUUGGUAAGUCCGUUGUGAAAACUCGAGGCUCAACCUCGAGACGUCGGUUGAAACCGUAUGGCUAGAGUCCGGAAGAGGAGAGUGGAAUUCCCGGUGUAGCGGUGAAAUGCGCAGAUAUCGGGAAGAACACCCGUGGCGAAGGCGGCUCUCUGGGACGGUACUGACGCUGAGACGCGAAAGCGUGGGGAGCGAACAGG
rnacentral:rRNA from 1 species